CGACUCUUUCGAGUUUGGAGGAGUCGAAUCGUGGAUACAUAUAUGUAUGAGAAGAGAGACAAUAAAUAAAAGAAUGUGGUUGAUCAAGCUUCAAGGGCAAGUAACAUAAGUGUGGGAAGAAUAAACUUGUGAAUGAGAAAGAGGGUUUAGUUUGUUGUGACAUGGAGAAGGCUGUGAAGGAGGAACUGGACCUCGUUGGAGCUUAUUCUGCAAAGCAAACCUUCUACCUAUAUCUUCCUUCUUCAUUCUCAGCCUUGACGUUGCCGAUGUUCCUCUU